rfam:Ovis aries breed Texel chromosome 2, whole genome shotgun sequence.
UCCCUGUUAGCUCAGACAGUAAAGUAUCUGCCUGCAAUGCAGGAGACCCAGGUUUGAUCUCUGGGUUGGGAA